UCGUACACAUACACACUCAGUUGUUUUUGUACUAAACUUUGAGAUUUGAUUUCAAUAUUGUUCUGUACCGGUUUAAAUGAUGAAACUACACAGGUGAUAGCUAGCAUCAUUGAUAAUGUGUUCUUCUCUUACCUUGCCGUGUUUAUUUACGAUAUUUAUUUAGUACAUUGGGUCAGUUGUACUCAUACAACACUAUGUGCUUAAUUGUGCAUAUCCAAGUAUGGGGACCAGUUUUCAGCAUUAGGCUUGUUUGAUGGACUAUCUGCUAGAGGCAAGGUAUGGGGACCAAUUUUCAGCAGUAGGCUUGCUUGUUGGACUAUCUGCUAGAGGCGAGUGUGGGGACCAGUUUUCAGCAGUAGGCUUGCUUGAUGGACUAUCUGCUAGAAGCGAGGUAGAGAUGCAUCCUUGGUCGCAUUUUGACUUGUCUUUUCUUUUCUUAUUGUUGUUACAGUUCAGACAGUGUAUUUAUUGUUUAGUUUUAGACUUUAUUCCGUUGUAGAAACUCAUGACUCCAUACUUACAAGCUUCUGGGUAUUUACUUUGGUAUUAGCAGUUUUAUUGUAUUAAGA